UACGAAGGGGGCUAGCGUUGUUCGGAAUCACUGGGCGUAAAGCGCGCGUAGGCGGAUUGUUAAGUCGGGGGUGAAAUCCUGAGGCUCAACCUCAGAACUGCCUUCGAUACUGGCGAUCUUGAGUCCGGGAGAGGUGAGUGGAGUUCCUAGUGUAGAGGUGAAAUUCGUAGAUAUUAGGAAGAACACCAGUGGCGAAGGCGGCUCACUGGCCCGGUACUGACGCUGAGGCGCGAAAGCGUGGGGAGCAAACAGG
rnacentral:rRNA from 1 species